rnacentral:rRNA from 1 species
GGGAAAGAGCCCAGACCGUCGGCUAAGGUCCCCAAAUUCGAGCUAAGUGUCAAAGGAUGUGGAAACGCUUAGACAACCAGGAGGUUGGCUUAGAAGCGGCCAUCCUUUAAAGAAAGCGUAAUAGCUCACUGGUCAAGCGAGUCUGCGCCGAAAAUACAACGGGGCUCAAGCUCGAUACCGAAGCCACGGAAUGUCGCAAGACAUUGGUAGGGGAGUAUUCUCAAGGAGAUACGCGGUGGACGGGAACGACCACUAGAGGCCUUGAGAAGAGCUUAUGCAGGCAUGAGUAGCGAUAAACCGGGUGAGAAACCCGGUCGCCGUAAGCCCAAGGUUUCCUGGGGAAGGAUAAUCCUCCCAUGGGUUAGUCGGAUCCUAAGCCAAGGCCGAAAGGCGUAGGUGAUGGAAAGCAGGUUAAUAUUCCUGCACCACCAAGGAUAGCGUUGAAGUAAGCGGGGACGGAGUAGGGUAGGCCGAGCACGGUGUUGGUUCGUGUUCAAGCCAGUAGGGUGAGAGACCAGGACCCGAUAGGGACAAACGGUUUCUCUGAGCCCGAGAGGUGAUGAGGGUUCGCUUCGGCGGACACACUCGGUGAUCCCACACUUCCAAGAAAAGCCGCGUACUGAGCUCCUUUGGUGUCCGUACCGCAAACCGACUCAGGUGGGCGGGGUGAAGAUCCCAAGGCGCGUGAGAGAACCCUGGUUAAGGAACUCGCAAAAUGACACCGUAACUUCGGGAGAAGGUGUGCCACGGGGCGUGAAGGAGUUUACCUCCGGAGCGUCAAGUGGUCGCAGAGAAAUGGGGGUUGUGACUGUUUACUAAAAACACAGGACUCUGCGAAGUCGAAAGACGACGUAUAGGGUCUGAUGCCUGCCCGGUGCUGGAAGGUUAAGGGGAAGUGUCAGCGCAAGCGAAGCUCUGAACCGAAGCCCCAGUAAACGGCGGCCGUAACAAUAACGGUCCUAAGGUAGCGAAAUUCCUUGUCGGGUAAGUUCCGACCUGCACGAGGGCAUAACAACAUCCCCGCUGUCUCGACCAGGGACUCAGCGAAAUUGUAUUGGGGGUGAAGAUACCCUCUACCCGCGGCAAGACGGAAAGACCCCAUGAACCUUUACUGCAACUUGACAGUGAUUUUCGGUACGUUCUGCGUAGGAUAGGUGGGAGGCUUUGAGACCGGGCUUCUGGGUUCGGUGGAGCCAACGUUGAAAUACCACCCUGGAUGUUCUGGAAAUCUAACCUGGGCCCAUCACUGGGUCGGGGACACUGUCUGGCGGGCAGUUUGACUGGGGCGGUCGCCUCCAAAAAAGUAACGGAGGCGUGCGAAGGUUCCCUCAGGCUGAUUGGAAACCAGCCGUAGAGUGCAAACGCACAAGGGAGCUUAACUGCGAGACCGACAGGUCUAGCAGGUGCGAAAGCAGGCGUUAGUGAUCCUGUGGUUCUGCAUGGAAGGGCCAUAGCUCAUCGGAUAAAAGGUACUCUGGGGAUAACAGGCUGAUCA